rnacentral:RNase_P_RNA from 1 species
CGGUCUGUCGCUUGUCGCGCUACGGCGACAAGAGGAAAGUCCGGGCAACACAGAGCAUCAUAUUUUCUAACGGAAAGCUGUCGGCAACGGCAGGGCAAGUGUAACAGAAAACUACCGCCUGCUCUCAGCAGCAGGUAAGGGUGAAAAGGCGGGGUAAGAGCCCACCGGCUCCGGAGGCGACUCCGGAGGCCGUACAUCCUAUGAGUUGCAAGGUCAAGUAUACCGGCAAACAAGGGUUGCUCGCCCUUUGCCGGGGGGUAGACUGCUAAAGCCCGGUGGCGACACCGCGGCUUAGAUAAAUGACAGACCGGCGCGUCAAUGGUCUUGCUGACAAUCACGCGCCGACAUAACCCGGCUUACAGCGCUUCUG